AUUGAACGCUGGCGGCAGGCCUAACACAUGCAAGUCGAGCGAGCGGCGGACGGGUGAGUAAUGUCUGGGAAACUGCCUGAUGGAGGGGGAUAACUACUGGAAACGGUAGCUAAUACCGCAUAACAUCAGAUGUGCCCAGCUGGGAUUCGCUAGUAGGUGGGGUAACGGCUCACCUGGGCGACGAUCCAUAGCUGGUCUGAGAGGAUGACCAGCCCAACUGGAACUGAGGCACGGUCCAGACUCCUACGGGAGGCAGCAGUGGGGAAUAGUGCGCAAUGGGCCCAAGCCUGAUGCAGCAAGGCCGCGUGUGUGAAGAAGGCCUUCGGGUUGUAAAGCACUUUCAGCGGGGAGGCGUUACCCGCAGAAUAAGCACCGGCUAACUCCGUGCCAGCAGCCGCGGUAAUAC
rnacentral:rRNA from 1 species